GACGAACGCUGGCGGCGUGCUUAACACAUGCAAGUCGAACGGAAAGGCCCUGCUUGCAGGGUACUCGAGUGGCGAACGGGUGAGUAACACGUGGGUGAUCUGCCCUGCACUUCGGGAUAAGCCUGGGAAACUGGGUCUAAUACCGGAUAGGAGCCAUUUUUAGUGUGAUGGUUGGAAAGUUUUUUCGGUGUAGGAUGAGCUCGCGGCCUAUCAGCUUGUUGGUGGGGUAAUGGCCUACCAAGGCGGCGACGGGUAGCCGGCCUGAGAGGGUGGACGGCCACAUUGGGACUGAGAUACGGCCCAGACUCCUACGGGAGGCAGCAGUGGGGAAUAUCGCACAAUGGGCGCAAGCCUGAUGCAGCGACGCCGCGUGGGGGAUGACGGCCUUCGGGUUGUAAACUCCUUUCGCUAGGGACGAAGCUUUUUGUGACGGUACCUAGAGAAGAAGCACCGGCUAACUACGUG
rnacentral:rRNA from 1 species